rnacentral:rRNA from 1 species
UACGUAGGGGGCAAGCGUUGUCCGGAUUUAUUGGGCGUAAAGCGCUCGCAGGCGGCUCGAUGCGUCGUGCGUGAAACACCCCGGCUCAACUGGGGAGGGUCGUGCGAUACGGUCGGCUUGAGGCCGUAGGGGAUGCGGAAUUCCGGGUGUAGUGGUGGAAUGCGUAGAGAUCCGGAGGAACACCAGCGGCGAAGGCGGCAUCCUGGAGCUGGUCCUGACGCUCAGGAGCGAAACGUGGGACGAGUCGG